rnacentral:rRNA from 1 species
AUUGAACGCUGGCGGCAGGCCUAACACAUGCAAGUCGAACGAGUGGCGGACGGGUGAGUAAUGUCUGGGAAACUGCCUGAUGGAGGGGGAUAACUACUGGAAACGGUAGCUAAUACCGCAUACCAUCAGAUGUGCCCAGAUGGGAUUAGUGUGUUGGUGGGGUAACGGCUCACCAAGGCGACGAUCCAUAGCCGACCUGAGAGGAUGAUCAGGCACACUGGAACGGGAACACGGUCCAGACUCCUACGGGAGGCAGCAGUGGGGAAUAUUGGACAAUGGGCGAAAGCCUUAUCCAGCCAUGCCGCGUGUGUGAAGAAGGUCUUCGGAUUGUAAAGCACUUUAAGGUGGGAGGCGUUACCCGCAGAAGAAGCACCGGCUAACUACGUGCCAGCAGCCGCGGUAAUAC